CAUUGCGGGACGUGUAUGAAUGAACGGAAAAGACGCGAUUGGAUGUCCAUACUUCGUUUUAUCUAUAAAAAUCUUGAAUUUGAAUGUCCUCCUGGGUGAGGAUCAGGUGGAUGUUUGGCACAACCCGACCAAUGAAGCAGGAGAUUUUGAGCAGCAAGAGGAAAACUCUGAAGUUGUUUCAGCAGGACACUUUCAAGAUGAUGGUUGAUACAAAAUACCGAAGACAUCAAAAGACCAAGUUUUGAUAUUUGACACCAAGUGGCAACCCAGCAU